GACGAACGCUGGCGGCGUGCCUAAUACAUGCAAGUAGAACGCUGAAGGAGGAGCUUGCUUCUCUGGAUGAGUUGCGAACGGGUGAGUAACGCGUAGGUAACCUGCCUGGUAGCGGGGGAUAACUAUUGGAAACGAUAGCUAAUACCGCAUAAGAGUAGAUGUUGCAUGACAUUUGCUUAAAAGGUGCAAUUGCAUCACUACCAGAUGGACCUGCGUUGUAUUAGCUAGUUGGUGGGGUAACGGCUUACCAAGGCGACGAUACAUAGCCGACCUGAGAGGGUGAUCGGCCACACUGGGACUGAGACACGGCCCAGACUCCUACGGGAGGCAGCAGGAGGGAAUCUUCGGCAAUGGACGGAAGUCUGACCGAGCAACGCCGCGUGAGUGAAGAAGGGUGUCGGAUCGUAAAGCUCUGUUGUAAGAGAAGAACGAGUGUGAGAGUGGAAAGUUCACACUGUGACGGUAUCUUACCAGAAAGGGACGGCUAACUACGUG
rnacentral:rRNA from 1 species